UUGUGUGAAGACAGACACACACUAGAAGUCUAGAAGAAGAAGAGUUGUCGUCCGUUAGGUUAGGUUCUCACCGUCAAUCAAAAACACCUCUUUUUUUCUUCGUGUUUUUCAUAUUCAUCUUCAUCUUCUCUUCAUCUUUCUUUCAGAAAAUUCUGAAACCCUAAUUUAAUCUAUUUAUUAAAUUAAGAUUUAGGGUUAUUUAUUGUUGUUAUGAGUAUGGAAAGGAUUGUAGGUGCAAAGUAUAAGUUAGGAAGAAAGAUCGGAAGUGGAUCCUUUGGUGAAAUCUACCUUGCAACACAGAUUGAUACAAAUGAGAUCUUUGCUGUCAAGAUUGAAAACACAAAGACAAAGCACCCACAGCUUCUAUAUGAAGCAAAAUUGUAUAAUAUUCUUCAAGGAGGGAGUGGUAUUGCGGGGAUAAAAUGGUUUGGGGUUGAUGGGGAAGAGAAUGUUUUGGUCAUUGAUUUGUUGGGACCGAGUCUAGAAGAUCUUUUUGUAUACUGUGGAAGGAAAUUUUCGUUAAAAACAGUCUUAAUGUUGGCUGAUCAAAUGAUUACAAGAAUUGAGUAUAUGCACUCUAAAGGAUUUUUGCAUCGGGACAUCAAACCAGAUAACUUCCUCAUGGGUCUUGGUCGGAAAGCAAAUCAAGUCUAUAUCAUUGAUUUUGGACUGGCUAAAAGAUAUCGGGAGUCUACUACUAACCGCCACAUUCCUUAUAGAGAGAAUAAAAGUUUAACAGGGACUGCUCGAUAUGCGAGUUGCAAUACUCACCUUGGCAUUGAACAAAGUCGGCGAGAUGAUUUGGAGUCUCUUGGUUAUGUGCUUUUAUACUUUUUAAGAGGAAGUCUUCCCUGGCAGGGUUUAAAAGCUGCUACAAAGAAGCAAAAAUAUGACAAGAUAUGUGAGAAGAAGCUAUCCACUCCUAUUGAAGUUUUGUGCAAGUCCCAUCCGGUGGAGUUUGCCUCGUACUUCCAUUACUGCCAUUCUUUGACAUUUGAUCAACGACCAGAUUAUGGUUUCUUAAAACGCCUAUUCCGUGAUUUGUUUACUCGUGAAGGACAUCAGUUCGAUUACAUAUUUGACUGGACUAUCCUAAAGUACCAGCAAGCACAAAAGACAAAAGUUCAGCCACGGGGGCCUCCACCUCCUAUAGCGACUGGAAGUCGAGCAAUGCCAACAGAUGCUAACAAGCAUAGAGUUUCAGGUGGAAAUGGUGCUGCUUAUUCGGCUGAGGUCACCGACCGCCUUGUGUCCACUGAUGGUACUCGUCCUGGGAUACGGAUGCAGUUUAAAUCAUCAACACAGAGGAUUUCGAGUUCUAGUAGGCCUAUUGAGAAUUCUAAAAUGAGCAGCUUCGCUGAAAAUGGGCAUGCGACGUCUAGCACAGCUGCUAUUGCUGGUUCCUCCAGUAGAAUUGCUUCACAACCCAUGGUGACAACUGAAACUUCAACCCUUGGGCAUGCCUCAGGCAGCAGGAAUGGUCAUCCGAGUAGCUGGUUUCCAUCGUUACAGCGAAAUUCUUCUGCUAAAUAAUUGCAAAAGGGCCAAACAAGAAGAAUCAGUGAAUCCAUAUUCAAGAGGCUGUGAAAGUGCAAGGCAUUUUAAAUUGCUCAUGUCCCCUACAGCCUUCCAGAUCACGAAUAGCAGUUCCUCAAACGCAACAGCAGCAAUCAUUCUGUGGCAGCUGAAAUGAAGUGAUCAAGUGAGAAGUAGUUUGUGCUGUUCUGCCAGCUGGAGCUUAUUAUUACUCACGGGACUCUUCAAGCUUUACGAUUGCAUGUAAACAUGAGUGAGAAGUGAAGCCUUUCUUCGUUCUUCUGUUAAUAGUAGUUUAUAAGUUUUAACUAUAGGUACUCAGAAAGUUCUCCGGCAUCUAGUAGAAGAGUCUAGAAAACAGUGAAUCACAUGACAACAAAGUACAACUAUCUGGGCCAAUACGAAGUUUUCAGCGCAGGCAAGAGAGAUUCUUAAUCUCGAGAAUCACAGGUUUUGGUUGCCAGAGAGCCAUUAAAGAGGUAUUCUGCGCUUGUUCAGCUCGGUUGACCUUCCAAGUAUCCUUCGGAAAAAUUCUUCUUUCCGGUUUUUGUACUCUUACCACUUUAUUUUUGCGUGGCAGCUAAUUUUUGGUCGGGUCAUCACAGAACCCGACAGGCUUGUAAAUAGAACGAUAUGAAAGCCACAUAAUCUGACAGAAGAUCUAACAAAAUUUAUGACCUAAGAUUGAACUUUGGUCUCUA